CACUGGUACUCGAGUGGCGAACGGGUGAGUAACACGUGGGUGAUCUGCCUUGCACUCUGGGAUAAGCUUGGGAAACUGGGUCUAAUACCGGAUAGGAACCGUCUUUAGUGUGGUGGUUGGAAAGUUUUUCGGUGCAAGAUGAGCUCGCGGCCUAUCAGCUUGUUGGUGGGGUAAUGGCCUACCAAGGCGUCGACGGGUAGCCGGCCUGAGAGGGUGUACGGCCACAUUGGGACUGAGAUACGGCCCAG
rnacentral:rRNA from 1 species